CAAUAGCGUAUAUUAAAGUUGUUGCAGUUAAAAAGCUCGUAGUUGGAUUUCUGGGAGGGUGCCAAUGUCCGCCGUCGUGCGUGCGCAGCGGCGCCCUUCCAUCCUUCUGUUAACGCCUCUUGGCAUUCAUUUGCUGGUGGCGGGCUCAGAUAUUUUACCUUGAGAAAAUUAGAGUGUUUCAGGCAGGCUAGGCCGGAAUACAUUAGCAUGGAAUAAUGGAAUAGGACUACGGUCUCGUUGUUGGUUUGAGGGACUGCAGUAAUGAUUAAUAGGGAUAGUUGGGGGCAUUAGUAUUUAAUUGUCAGAGGUGGAAUUCUCGGAUUUGUUAAAGACUAACUUAUGCGAAAGCAUUUGCCAAGGAUGUUUUCAUUAA
rnacentral:rRNA from 1 species